AUUGAACGCUGGCGGCAGGCCUAACACAUGCAAGUCGAACGGUAACAGGAAGAAGCUUGCUUCUUUGCUGACGAGUGGCGGACGGGUGAGUAAUGUCUGGGAAACUGCCUGAUGGAGGGGGAUAACUACUGGAAACGGUAGCUAAUACCGCAUAACGUCGCAAGACCAAAGAGGGGGACCUUCGGGCCUCUUGCCAUCGGAUGUGCUCAGAUGGGAUUAGCUAGUAGGUGGGGUAACGGCUCACCUAGGCGACGAUCCCUAGCUGGUCUGAGAGGAUGACCAGCCACACUGGAACUGAGACACGGUCCAGACUCCUACGGGAGGCAGCAGUGGGGAAUAUUGCACAAUGGGCGCAAGCCUGAUGCAGCCAUGCCGCGUGUAUGAAGAAGGCCUUCGGGUUGUAAAGUACUUUCAGCGGGGAGGAAGGGAGUAAAGUUAAUACCUUUGCUCAUUGACGUUACCCGCAGAAGAAGCACCGGCUAACUCCGUG
rnacentral:rRNA from 1 species